rnacentral:rRNA from 1 species
CCUACGGGAGGCAGCAGUGAGGAAUAUUGGUCAAUGGACGAGAGUCUGAACCAGCCAAGUAGCGUGAAGGAUGACUGCCCUAUGGGUUGUAAACUUCUUUUAUAAGGGAAUAAAACGAGGCACGUGUGCCUUUUUGCAUGUACUUUAUGAAUAAGGAUCGGCUAACUCCGUGCCAGCAGCCGCGGUAAUACGGAGGAUCCGAGCGUUAUCCGGAUUUAUUGGGUUUAAAGGGAGCGUAGAUGGGUUGUUAAGUCAGUUGUGAAAGUUUGCGGCUCAACCGUAAAAUUGCAAUUGAUACUGGCAGUCUUGAGUACAGUUGAGGUAGGCGGAAUGCGUGGUGUAGCGGUGAAAUGCUUAGAUAUCACGAAGAACCCCGAUUGCGAAGGCAGCUUACUAAACUGUGACUGACAUUGAUGCUCGAAAGUGUGGGGAUCAAACAGGAUUAGAUACCCUGGUAGUC